CCUUUUCAUUCUGAUAAGAAGGAACUCUCCCUGUUGUAGCUAAAAUAGUAAUGUUACCUCCCACGAAGCAACGCAGCGAACUAUAAGGUUUGCAAUGGAGUUGGUACCUGCAAAUAAUGGAUUCAAGAAUGCCCAGAGGCAAGCAGGCCACCUUCAAAGGUGUCUCAGGACCCAUGGCCAGAUGCUGUUCAUUUGUGUCCCCCUG